AGGGUAUUUUCAGGAGAAACUGGCAUUUGAAUUGGAGUGCUGAGAAAAGUAGAUGCCUCCUCUAAUGCGGGUGGGCUUCAUCCAUUUCUUUGAGGGCCUGAAUAGAACAAAAAGGCAGAGGAAGAGAGAAUUCUCUCUCUCUCUCUCUCUUCCCCCCCUCCCCCCGAUGGUUAAUUUUGAGUGUCAACUUGAUUGGAUUGAAGGAUGCAAAGUAUUGAUCCUGGGUAUGUCUGUGAGGGUGUUGCCAAAGGAAAUUAACAUUAAGUCAGUGAACUGGGAAAGGCAGACCCACCCUCAAUGUGGUUAGGCACCAUCUAAUCAGCUGCCAGCACCGCCAGAAUAAAACAAAAGGCAGAAGAACCUGGAAAGACUAGACUGGCUGAGUUUUCUGGCCUCCAUCUUUCUCCCAUGCUGGAUGCUUCCUUCCCUCAAAUAUUGAACUCCAAGUUCUUCAGUUUUGGGAUUCUUGGGCCUUCAACCACAGACUGAAGGCUGCACUGUUGGCUUCCCUACUUUUGAGAUUCAGGGACCAGACUGGCUUCCUUGUUCCUCAGCCAAGCAGAUAGCCUACUGUGGGACCUCACCUUGUGAUCAUGCCUUGGGACUUGGACUAGAAUUUACACCACUCGUUUUCCUGGGUCUGAAACUUGCAGACAGCAGAUUGUGAGACUGUUCUGCCUGCACAAUCAUCUCCCAUGCAUCGAGAAGCCCAACUCAAGAUGAGGCUGCUUUUUGUGCUCUCACUGACACACCCAGAUGAGUUGAGUCUUCAAGUCAGCCCAUCUUGGGUACCAGACAUAUCAAUGAAAAAACCUGCAGAUGAUUCCAUCUUCCAGAAGAUCGAGUCAGGUUCUGCUAUUUGAGUCUUCCCAGCUAAGGUUUGAGACAUGGAGCAGUAACAAACCCUCUCUCAUGUCCCCUGCCUGAGGAGAGGUUUUGGUAGACCUGUUUUGACACGAAAGCUAGACUGAGUCUUACUCCAGAUUUCCUUUGAAGAAAACAGUUAUGCAGCAUCAUGAAGAAGAAGAUGAUGAUGAGAGGAAGAAAGAAAUUCCCAAGAACUUCAUAGGGAAGAGUGUCUGGGGAGAGAAAAACUGGAGAAUCUGGGAGAAGGCUGUGGAAUGUCUAAUGGUGAUUUUUACACACACACACACACACACACACACAAAUCCGGUAUGCUCUGCAAUGUAAAUGCUAUCAUCCAAUUGUUCUGUGAAUUUGUUGGUGUUGUCUAUAUUUUUUAAGUUUGCUGCAAAAAAAUAUAUAUACAUUAGGAGGACCUGGAACCACAUUGUCAAGAAGUUAAAAGAGAGAUUACACUGUAGGAAAAGUAUGACAGCUGUGUUAUAAAUAAAUAGUGUUCAUGAAGCCCCUAAUGGGUGCCAGCUAUCAUUAGAGGCAUGGAAGGUACAAUGGUGAAUAAAGUAAUGGUAGAAAGAAGGGCGUUAAAACAUUGCACUGAAUGACAUAUCAUUGGGAGAUGAAUAAUUUCAUAAAACACUACAGAGGGUAAGUUUUCCAUUUUCUAAUGAUAAUGAUAGAUAUUAUUAUUUCAAAGAGUAGGUAAAAUGUGAGGAAUAAACACAAAUAGUUAAAAGAUUUUUCCCCUUACAAUAAGAGCUAUGUGCUGAAUUUUGUCCCUCAUACCAAAUCCAUAUGUUGAAGUCCUAAGUGCAAUACUUCAAAAUUUGACUGUAUUUGGAGAUAGAGCCUCUAAAGAGGUAAUUAAGGUAAAAUGAGGUCAUAUGUGUGGACUCUGAUCCAAUAUGCCUGGUGUCCAUCUAAGAGAGGAGAUUAGGACACAGACACACACAGAAAGAAGAUCAUGUAAAGAUAUCAGAGGAAGACAGACAUCUACAAGCCAAGAAGAAUUGCCCUUAGAAGAAACCAAUUCUGCUGACAUCUUGAUCUAGAACUUCUCACUUCCAGAACUAUAAGGAAAUACAUUUCUGUUGUUUAAGCCACACAGUCUAUGGUACAUUUUUGUGGUAGGCCUAGCAAAGUAACACAAUAAAGUAGUCCAUUAUACUCAUCAAAGAUUUUUUUCAAAUUAUUGACUGUUGUGAAUUGUAUUGUUUGGUUCCUUACAAAAUUGCCAGAAUAAUUGUCAUAUUGUCAUUCAUAACUAAGAAGAUAAAAUAUGCAUUUAUGAUAUUGUUUCUACAACUUGGAAGGGAAAAAUUAUGUAAAAAUAUUUUAUAACACUGAUUUACUAAUAUAAAAGUGAGGAAAUAUUUUUUAAAAAUUCUUUAGAAAAUUACAAUCAAUCAACAAAAAUUUGGAGUUUUAUUAAUACUUUUAUGCAAGUGGCAUGAAAAGAAAAUUCUCAAAUUUUAAUUCUCUUCUUGUAUAAAAUGUAGUAAUUUGCAUUGUUAUGAUCAUUGAUUUUAAGAUAUAGCAUUUUUAAUCGAAAGUUUGUAGUGUAAAUGUGGAUACGAACAUGAAAAUCAGACUCUAUAACUGCCAUGCAUUAUCAAGAAGGAAAAACACUCAAGAAAAGCAUGUGAUGCAAAUCUAAUCUUUCACUCUAAUAGAACACAUUUUCUUAAACCUUGAACAUAUUUUAAAUAACAAAUACAGAUUUCUGGUUGUGGUUGUGUGUUUGAUUGUCUUAAAACUUUCUAUGCUUAAUUACAAAUUAUUAUGAUGUUAAAAUAUAGAAACACACAUAAAGUAGAAACAACCAUUCCAAUGAACUGAGAUUGUUUUUAAGAACUGAUAUUUCAGAUACUCAGAUACUUGCCCACAACCUUGAUAAAAUUCACUGAAUCCUGUUUAAUUAUUGCAAUAUCAUGCAACAUCAUGGGUUUCAAAAUGUAUACAUGGAUUCGUUUCCUAAGUUAUUAAGUUUAACUGCCUGGGUUUAAGUGUGUGUGUGUGUGUGUGUGUGUGUGUGUGUGUGUGUGUGUGUGUGUUUCUAUUGACAGAGGUCUGCAACUCCUUGUUGACCACUUGAUAGAAGUGGUUGAUUUAAAGUGCUUUUGUUCUUCAGAUACAGAAAUAUAUUUUUCUAUAAACCUAUUAUCUUUGAACUUGAUGGAAUCUUGUAUUGUUUCAUAUUCUUAAGACCAUACA
rnacentral:lncRNA from 10 species